rnacentral:rRNA from 1 species
GACGAACGCUGGCGGCGUGCUUAACACAUGCAAGUCGAACGGAAAGGCCCUGCUUUUGUGGGGUGCUCGAGUGGCGAACGGGUGAGUAACACGUGAGUAACCUGCCCUUGACUUUGGGAUAACUUCAGGAAACUGGGGCUAAUACCGGAUAGGAGCUCCUGUUGCAUGGUGGGGGUUGGAAAGUUUCGGCGGUUGGGGAUGGACUCGCGGCUUAUCAGCUUGUUGGUGGGGUAGUGGCUUACCAAGGCUUUGACGGGUAGCCGGCCUGAGAGGGUGACCGGCCACAUUGGGACUGAGAUACGGCCCAGACUCCUACGGGAGGCAGCAGUGGGGAAUAUUGCACAAUGGGCGGAAGCCUGAUGCAGCAACGCCGCGUGCGGGAUGACGGCCUUCGGGUUGUAAACCGCUUUCGCCUGUGACGAAGCGUGAGUGGCGGUAAUGGGUAAAGAAGCACCGGCUAACUACGUG